AGAGUUUGAUCAUGGCUCAGGAUGAACGCUGGCGGUCUGCUUAACACAUGCAAGUCGAACGGAAUCUUUCGGGAUUUAGUGGCGGACGGGUGAGUAACGCGUGAGAAUCUGCCUUCAGGUUCGGGACAACAGUUGGAAACGGCUGCUAAUACCGGAUGUGCCGAGAGGUGAAAGCUUAAGUGCCUGGAGAUGAGCUCGCGUCUGAUUAGCUAGUAGGAGUGGUAACGGCACCCCUAGGCGACGAUCAGUAGCUGGUCUGAGAGGAUGAUCAGCCACACUGGGACUGAGACACGGCCCAGACUCCUACGGGAGGCAGCAGUGGGGAAUUUUCCGCAAUGGGCGCAAGCCUGACGGAGCAAGACCGCGUGAGGGAAGAAGGUCUGUGGAUUGUAAACCUCUUUUGAUCGGGAAGAAGACAGUGACGGUACCGAUCUGAAUCAGCUCGACCCCCCUG
rnacentral:rRNA from 1 species